rnacentral:rRNA from 1 species
AUUGAACGCUGGCGGCAUGCUUUACACAUGCAAGUCGAACGGCAGCACAGGGAGCUUGCUCCCGGGUGGCGAGUGGCGCACGGGUGAGUAAUACAUCGGAACGUGUCCUGUUGUGGGGGAUAACAGUUAGAAAUGACUGCUAAUACCGCAUAACCCGCUAAGGUCGCAUGACCUGGACGGAAAAGAUUUAUCGGUACGAGAUGGACCCGCGUCUGAUUAGCUAGUUGGUGAGGUAACGGCCCACCAAGGCGACGAUCAGUAGCCGGCCUGAGAGGGUGACCGGCCACAUUGGGACUGAGACACGGCCCAA